GUGUGUCAGUAUGUCUGUGUGUGUAUGCCAGUAUGUCUGUGUGUGUGUCAGUAUGUCUGUGUGUAUGCCAGUAUGUCUGUGUGUGUGUGUGUGUGUGUCAGUAUGUCUGUGUGUAUGCCAGUAUGUCUGUGUGUAUGCCAGUAUGUCUGUGUGUAUGUGUGUGUGUCAGUAUGUCUGUCUGUAUGCCAGUAUGUCUGUGUGUGUGUGUGUGUCAGUAUGUCUGUGUGUAUGCCAGUAUGUCUGUGUGUGUGUGUGUGUGUCAGUAUGUCUGUGUGUAUGCCAGUAUGUCUGUGUGUGUAUGUCAGUGUGUGUGUGUGCGUCAGUAUGUCUGUGUGUAUGCCAGUAUGUCUGUGUGUGUAUGUCAGUGUGUGUGUGUGUCAGUAUGUCUGUGUGUAUGCCCGUAUGUCUGUGUGUGUGUAUGUAGGUAUGUCUCUGUGUAUGUGUGUGUACGUGUGUGUCAGUAUGUCUGCCAGGAUAUAUUUGUGUGUCAGUGUAUGUGUGUGUCAGUAUGUAUCUGUGAAUGUUUUAAUGUCUGUCUGUG